rnacentral:rRNA from 1 species
GAUGAACGCUAGCGGCGUGCCUUAUACAUGCAAGUCGAGCGAGGCGGGGACGGGUGAGUAACACGUGGAUAACCUCCUCUGAGGCUGGGAUAACUUCGGGAAACCGGCGCUAAACAGGAUACUUCUAGAUGGAUCCGCGCUGCAUUAGCUAGUUGGUAAGGUAACGGCGUACCAAGGCAACGAUGCAUAGCCGACCUGAGAGGGUGAGCGGCCACACUGGAACGGCGAAACGGCCCAGACUCCUACGGGAGGCAGCAGUAGGGAAUUUUCCGCAAUGGGGGAAACCCUGACGGAGCAAGCCCGCGUGAGUGAUGAAGGCCUUCGGAUCGUAAAACGCUUUUAGUAGGGAAGCGGUACCUAAUCAGAAAGCACCGGCUAACUACGUGCCAGCAGCCGCGGUAAUAC